UUUAAAAUAGGAUCGCAAACAGGUUAUAGUAUUGAAAUCAGAAAACAAAACUACAGAUCUUAUUACAGCUUGAACUAUAUUAUCAACUAGACCUCGAUAUGAAGGAUAACCAAUAUCCAAUUUAACAAAUCUAUUCUUUUACAACUAAACCAAAUUUAGUCAACUCCAAUUACCACUAGUCCCACAGACACGAUCUUGAUUACUCUUCCUGACCAUCAGGUUGAAACUUAAUCACUUGCAAUCCUCGCCUAGCCUUACUCUUACGCUUAGCAUAAAUAGGCGAACCAUCUUUAACAUUAUCUGAAAGGGGUUAGAAGAAAUAGCAAGAAUGAGCAAAAGAAUGCUCAGCAAGUAUAUUAGUUAAAAAGAAACAGGAGUUAAUGCAGAGAAAGUAAUUGAACUGGAAGUAUACAAAACAACAUGCUUUUAACUUGAAACCAAAACAAUUCAAAAGUAUAUAUGAAUUUCCAAAGCAUUCAGAUAUAUUGGACGUUAAUAGUCACCGUAGAUGAUCAGUCUACAGUAACCCGGACAAUGGUUACGCAUUGCCCUAAAAUAAAAUGUUCCGGAACUGAAGACUAGCUAGGUCUCCAUAUAACGCUGGGCCAAGGGCCUCUUAUGCAAACAAAACAAUAGGCUGGGCAUAGACCUCUUACGCAAAGCUGGGCAUCGGCCUCUUACGCAAACAAAACAAUAGUCCAAUGAUUAUAUCUGAAUUUUUCUUUUACUUCCCAGUUCCAAAAAUUUCAAUGUAAUUUAAGUGUCUCAUUUGGAAGGAUAAUAAGUACUAUUCCCAUAAAGCAUUCAUUAAUCGUUCCAAUUCAAGUUUUAGGAAAGACUUUUUCCCAAGGUACAAGUGUUAAAUAAAAGCAGUAUUCAUAGAGAAAGAUGGGUUAGAUAUACUUGCUUUUAAAUAAAGAAGUAGCAUAGGAAUACUUGCAGUAAUUUCAAGUUAAGAAUAGAAUUACUCGCAAGAAAGCUUGAGAGAAAUUAAUCUAUCAAUAUCAUGAUUGAACAAAAUAUCUCACUUGAACAAUAAGUGAAGAGUUAUAGUACUUGCCUCAGUUCUGCUGAUUUUCACACCAAUUAAUUUCUACCGGACUAUCUCACAGCACAGCUUCGUCUUAAGGAACUAUUCCUGAUUAAAUUCACAAAGCUAUUCAACUACUUCUGAAUGUCCUUGAUAUACAAGUCUCGGUUGAUUCUCCACGAGUAACACGGUACUUCGGUUGUCGAUGCCGACGGAGUUAACUAAUAUCGAAUAACGUAUAAAAUCCGUAAUUAGCUACCCUUCGUAAAUCCAUAUACAUACCACAUAGUCAGAUAAACACAUAGCACAUAGUUGAACAAUUAACUUUUAUAGCUAUUAAAAGUCAAUAUUGAUAAGUUAACAAAUAACAUGUUUCAAUCAACCAUGUUACCUUAUUCUUAACUAUUUAAUAUCCUUCAACAAGUAAAACAUAUAUAAUUUCUAUCGAAAAUUCGGCAGCAUCUCCUCUAUGUAUCGGACUAUCCACCUGUUUCCCUAUACUAUGCAACAAGUAAUCAACUCAAUCCACUCAAUAAACCAAUCAUAUAACAUCAACCAUUACUCAUUGACUGGAUUUAAAUAAUUAGCAAACUCUGAAAUCAUAUGCUAAAUCAUAAGCCAAUAAUUCAACUUUUUAACCAAAUAUUUCUCAAAGAUCUUUAUAAAUAUAUUCCAGAGGUCGCGGAAAUUUCAACCCAACUCAUAGAUUUAAACUUGCAAAAACAAUUCUCUUUGUAACAGCAAAACAGAAUUUUCACAAGUAUGUGCUACCGACAUUCAAACAUUUUUAAUAAAUCAAAAAUACAAGUUUUUCACUUGAAAUUUUUAUGAGACCUCCCU
rnacentral:lncRNA from 1 species